UACGUAGGGUCCGAGCGUUGUCCGGAAUUACUGGGCGUAAAGAGCUCGUAGGUGGUUUGUCGCGUUGUUCGUGAAAACUCACAGCUUAACUGUGGGCGUGCGGGCGAUACGGGCAGACUUGAGUACUGCAGGGGAGACUGGAAUUCCUGGUGUAGCGGUGGAAUGCGCAGAUAUCAGGAGGAACACCGGUGGCGAAGGCGGUUCUCUGGGCAUUACCUGACGCUGAGGAGCGAAAGCAUGGGGAGCGAACAGG
rnacentral:rRNA from 1 species